AUUUAAUAAUUAAAGUCUUGAUUCAAAUAUAUUUAUCUUAAAAGAUAAUUUAUCUGAAUAAAUAUGUGUUUGAUUUUAUCGAAUCCAGAAGCUCGAGGUUAAAUAAGGUAUUAGUUCAGUUCGAAUUUUGAUUGAAUUGAGCCAAUCUAUUAAAAUUGGUCAUAAUUAAAAUCAAUUGGUCAUAAUUGCGAUGCAAUUGGCCAACUGAUUUUCAAUUGACCAAAACUUAAAUGAAUUGGCCAAAUCCCCAAAUAAAACCCAAAAUUCUCAAUUACCAGCCCAAUAAAAUAACCCAGCCCACACCCUUAUUCUCUUAAACAGCAAAACAACACCAAUAUCAACCUCACCAAACAACACGGUCUCAACCACAAAAACUCAACCUUAUACCCGAUCUCCAACGUACAAACAACCAAAAAUGGCGCACAACUCCAGCAAACGAACGACCUCAACCCGAAUCCAAUCGAACCCGACCCUACCAGCUCGAAAUCCACCCGAAAUCAACCAGUUCGCAGCCCUCCUCAUGUGUCUCAUGCGAGAAAACCCUCGAAGCUUCCAGAAUCCGAUGAGCUGUCCCCCUAACGGCUCAACCCCGUGAUUCUCGGGAUAAUAGGUACGAUUUCGUACACGUUUGGAGGAUUUUCAUUGGUUUAGGGGUGUAUUCCGUUGGUUUCUCUUUUCUAUUGGUCCACGAUUUUCAAUCCGUUUUGGGAAGAAUCCAAAAAAUGGGGGCACCGUGUACUAAGGCCAUCGAGAGAGGACCCUCAUUCUUGUGACUAUAAAAAGCUCAUUCAUUGAGCUGAAAAAGUGUGUGUGUGGGUGGGGAGGGAGAGAUUCUAGGGUUCGGAAAUAAUUCGAGAAACUAGGCUAAGAUUGUUUUGGUUUUCGAAAGAGGGUGAAAAAGCUCAUUCAGUGAGCUGAAAAGAGGGAUUGUUCUUUAUUCUUCCCUUUUGGGUUCGAAAGUUCUUAUGUUCAAAAUUUGAAGGGAAAUUUCUUCUAAGAGAGAGGUAUUUGAAAGGAGGAAAAAACUGAGGGAGGUGGAAGAAGAAAUUUUGAGAAUGAGCGAUUCCUUUGAUGAAGUUUUCUGGUUUCCCUUCUUCUUCUUUUGAAACUUGCUCGUUUAAACGGAAGACCUGAAGGUUCGUCGACUGGUCGUAACUUCCGAAUUGACAGCGACGUUAUUCUCUGGUGGUGAUCGAGAUUCCGUCAAGAGCUCGAGUCCCGUUUUGCUGCCCUGAAGCAGAGACCGGAUGGACUCUUUCCCCUUGCAUCUAUUAAUGGGACACCGAGGCCCACCAUGUCUAUCGAGUCAGGCCCGAAUAAAAGCCCAAAGUCGAGCAUGUAGCAUAUGGAUACGAGAAGUCGAAAGAAGAACAAAUGGAUUAAAGUCCUAUCAUUUAAAGCGGCUACGAGACCCCAAAAUCUCAUUUAUUAUUUUGUUUAUUUACUUAUUGUCGUCUUCAUUUAUUUAUUUAUUUCCUUAUUUAUUUAUUUGGGCCUCGAUUCCAAAGUUGUACUUAAUACAGGAGAAGCGAGACUCGAGCUAAAGGCUCGAAAACAUAAAAUUAGGACAGGUGGAAGACCGGCUGAAAGCCCAAUAUCUAGAUUAAGACAGGAUUGUCGAUUUGGGCCUAAUGACUCAAGUCCUUCUGCUUC